rnacentral:lncRNA from 1 species
GCUGUUAGGAUGGGUGGGUGUCUUCCUUAAAUCUUUAGAGUUAGAAGCAUUGGGAGCGGAAGACGAUGUUGAUAGCAGAGUUAUUGCGCUGGAUAACCGAACCUCUCCACAUCAUGCAGCCAUUGAAAAGGCAGAGCUCAGGUAACCACCAUUGUCAUUUUCCUCUGGAUAUCUGUCCAUCAUCGGAUGCUUGUUUUUUUUUUUUAAAUAUCCAAGCAGUUGAGAAUUUGAUUGAGAGAGGAAAGGAGAAGCGAACUAGACGAGUUGUUGCGCUGGAAAACUGAACCUCUCCACUUCAUGCAGCCAUUGAAAAGGCUCAAGCAGUGCUCAGG